rnacentral:rRNA from 1 species
AUUGAACGCUGGCGGCAUGCUUUACACAUGCAAGUCGAGCGGCAGCGCGGGGGCAACCCUGGCGGCGAGCGGCGAACGGGUGAGUAAUGCAUCGGAACGUAUCCUGUAGUGGGGAAUAACUCACCGAAAGGUGAGCUAAUACCGCAUAAGCUCUGAGGAGGAAAGCGGGGGACCGAAAGGCCUCGCGCUGCAGGAGCGGCCGAUGUCCGAUUAGCUAGUUGGUGAGGUAAAGGCUCACCAAGGCGACGAUCGGUAGCUGGUCUGAGAGGAUGAUCAGCCACACUGGGACUGAGACACGGCCCAGACUCCUACGGGAGGCAGCAGUGGGGAAUUUUGGACAAUGGGGGAAACCCUGAUCCAGCCAUGCCGCGUGAGUGAAGAAGGCCU